UACGGAGGAUGCGAGCGUUAUCCGGAUUUAUUGGGUUUAAAGGGUGCGUAGGCGGACGCUUAAGUCAGCGGUAAAAUUGCGGGGCUCAACCUCGUCGAGCCGUUGAAACUGGGUGUCUUGGGUGGGCGAGAAGUACGCGGAAUGCGUGGUGUAGCGGUGAAAUGCAUAGAUAUCACGCAGAACUCCGAUUGCGAAGGCAGCGUACCGGCGCCCAACUGACGCUGAAGCACGAAGGCGUGGGUAUCGAACAGG
rnacentral:rRNA from 1 species